rnacentral:lncRNA from 1 species
UUGUGGGGUUGGGGGCUGGGCAUGGGGUGUAUGUGCUCUCUGGGAGGGUGUUUGUGGGGCUGGGGGCUGGACAUGUGUAUGUGCUCUCUGGGAGGGUUUUGGGGGGCAGGGGUCUGGGCAUGGGGUUCCUGUGCCCUUUAGGGGGAGUGUUAGUGGUGUUGGGGGCUGGGCAUGGGGUACCUGUGCCUCCUGUGGCAGGGAUGUAGUUGGGGGGGGGUCAUGCAAGAGCAUGGCAGGGGUUGGAGCACAUAAGGAGCUGAGCAUGGGGUGCUGUUGUCUCUUGUGGUUGGGGGAAGGGGCUUUUGGGGGGGCUACCCAGGGUUUUAAUGAAGCUGGAUGGGGUGCAGAGACCCGGCAUGGGUGUCUGUGUGUCUUGGGGGGUGCUUUGGGCUAAGGGUGAAGGUGGCUGUUGCAGGACACGGAAGGGGGGUGUUUCAUGCAGGGUGACUAGAGAUAGGGGAAAGAUGGCUACAGACAGGGCACAAGAUUUGAGAGUUGGCAGGUGUGCAGGGACCUGCGGGUGAAAGUGCAUGUGUCCUUCAGGGGUGGCAACAGAGAAGAAGGUGGCUUGUGAGGGGCUGGGGCUGGGGGAGGUUUGGGAUGGGCUGAAGAGUGGUCACGGGGCAGCUGGCCAAGGGACUUCUGUUGGUAGGGAAAUGGGAUUUGCCCAGUGUUGGGGCAGCUGGUCAUGCCCUUGGUGGACACUUGAGGUGCACAGGCCAGAAGGAAGUUUUGGCAGGAGGCAGCAGAGAUCAAAGUACGUCCUGUACUUGCUCAGAACAGGAACCUCUAAAUAACUCUGCGGAUUGGAUUAAGGACUCCUCGUACUGUGACAAUUUUACCACUGUGAAGUCCAGUGUCUCAUCUGUAUAGCACACUUUCCCACUGAUUAAAGUUCUUGCAUUUGUGACUUGCCCUCACAAUAGCAUACAGUGCUGUGAGGCUUUCUGCUUGCAUCACUGCAGCUGUGCAGCAGAUGGAAAGCCUGGUUGAAAGGGUUGAAUGCAUCCUGGGUAGGAGCAUGGCAAUUCUCUUC